GGUCCAGACUCCUACGGGAGGCAGCAGUGAGGAAUAUUGGUCAAUGGGCGGGAGCCUGAACCAGCCAAGCCGCGUGAGGGAUGAAGGUACAGAGUCUCGUAAACCUCUUUUGUCAGGGAACAAAGGCGGGGACGUGUCCCCGGAUGAGUGUACCUGAAGAAAAAGCAUCGGCUAACUCCGUGCCAGCAGCCGCGGUAAUACGGAGGAUGCGAGCGUUAUCCGGAUUUAUUGGGUUUAAAGGGUGCGCAGGCGGAUUUUUAAGUCAGCGGUCAAAUCGUGGGGCUCAACCCCAUCCAGCCGUUGAAACUGGCGUUCUUGAGUGAGCGAGAAGUAUGCGGAAUUCGUGGUGUAGCGGUGAAAUGCAUAGAUAUCACGAAGAACCCCGAUUGCGAAGGCAGCAUACCGGCUCCACACUGACGCUGAGGCACGAAAGCGUGGGUAUCGAACAGGAUUAGAUACCCCGGUA
rnacentral:rRNA from 1 species